AGUAGGGAAUCUUCCACAAUGGACGAAAGUCUGAUGGAGCAACGCCGCGUGAGUGAAGAAGGGUUUCGGCUCGUAAAACUCUGUUGUUAAAGAAGAACAUAUCUGAGAGUAACUGUUCAGGUAUUGACGGUAUUUAACCAGAAAGCCACGGCUAACUACGUGCCAGCAGCCGCGGUAAUACGUAGGUGGCAAGCGUUGUCCGGAUUUAUUGGGCGUAAAGCGAGCGCAGGCGGUUUUUUAAGUCUGAUGUGAAAGCCUUCGGCUCAACCGAAGAAGUGCAUCGGAAACUGGGAAACUUGAGUGCAGAAGAGGACAGUGGAACUCCAUGUGUAGCGGUGAAAUGCGUAGAUAUAUGGAAGAACACCAGUGGCGAAGGCGGCUGUCUGGUCUGUAACUGACGCUGAGGCUCGAAAGUAUGGGUAGCAAACAGG
rnacentral:rRNA from 1 species